GAUGAACGCUAGCUACAUGCUUAACACAUGCAAGUCGAGCGACCGGCGCACGGGUGAUUAACACGUAACCAACCUGCCCUUUACUCGGGGCUAGCCUUUCGAAAGAAUGAUUAAUACCCGAUUUAAAGGAUGGGGUUGCGUCCCAUUAGGUUGUUGGUGAGGUAACGGCCACCAAGCCUUCGAUGGAUAGGGGUUCUGAGGGGAAGGUCCCCCACAUUGGAGCGGAGGCACGGUCCAAACUCCUACGGGAGGAAGCAGUGAGGAAUAUUGGUCAAUGGGCGGUAGCCUGAACCAGCCAAGUAGCGGGAAGGAUGAAGGCUUAUGGGUCGUGAAAUUCUUUUAUAUAAGAAUGGGUAUUAUAUGAAUAAGGAUCGGCUAACUCCGUGCCAGCCGCCGCGGUAAUAC
rnacentral:rRNA from 1 species